UAGGUUCUUCAUAGUUUGUAAACUACCAAACAAACCGGAACGAUGAAAAAAGGUGAAAUCUGUAGAAACAAAGACCCAAACAAAUAAAUGCAAAGAGAAAUCAAAAUGUCAGGAGGAAUCCAUAAGUGCAAAUAACAAAAACUUUAAAACAAGAAAAAUAGAAACCCAUAUGCAUCAAAGCUUAGAAAACUACCUACAUGCCCAACAACCAUAGAUAGCAUUUAGGAAUUGGAUACCGCAUAUGCAGGAAAGCAUAGAAAAUCAGCCAUAAACCCUGGCUGGAAUGCUGACAUAAGUAAUCUUUUCAAGGAAUCACAAC
rnacentral:lncRNA from 1 species